AGGGGGCGUCCCUGGGGGCGUCGCACGUGGACCCCCAGCACAGGCACGCCACGUGCACCCCGCUGUGCACGCCAGCAUUUCCUGCGGCAUCCUUUUCGGGUUCACUGGCCUUCGGCUGGUGUUCUUGCGGUUCCCAGCCUCUGGGAGGACUUGAAGAAGGGAGGAGACCUGUAGGAGGGGGCUUUGCGGGACGAAUAGGAGUUUACCGAGUGUUGUUGGAAGAGAAGAAGGUUGUGUUGCGGGGCAGCAGUCAGGUCACGUUGUGGAGUCGGGGGAAUAGGAAAAGGCAAAGCUGCCUAGAGCCCUGAAGGAGAUCCCCCCCAAGUCUAGGCUUCAGCUGACGGGGACGGGACGCCUAACCGUGACCCUGGUUAGCAUCACCCUUUGGGAGGUGGAGGCAGAAAAAGUAGAACAGGUUUGACCGAAAUCCCAAUCAUCCGGAAGAAGCUGCGAGGGCCGAUGGCAGGGAUGGAGGAUGGGGAGGUUGAAGGUUUUAAAAUGCACGCGGGCACUUUGGAUGAGGCGAGAAGGAUCCCCGGGGCAGGUAUUCCAGGUCAUCAUUAAGUGGCCUCGGUAAAGAAGUGGGGGAGAGGUGGGUGCCUGCACACCUGACAUCACAUCGCUCAAGAGGCUGAGACAGAAGGAUGACCUCCUGCCCAGGCUGGCCUGCGGUGGCAAGACUAGGGUAGAGGCUGACGACGAAAAGGAACGGUGUGGUUUCCCAAACGAGCUAAGGGGGGGGGGGACAUUGCAAAUGGGCCGAGUUCUGUGACCAAGCAGCCGGGGGCGGGUAGAAAGAGGUCACUAGAGGUCAUGGCUUCCUGCCAAAGGCUGGAGUCCCCUGGGGGGAGGAGUGGCCACUCUCCAGUCGGGAAUCUGGGGACUUGGCAGCAAGCUCCGAGAUGUCAGAGGUCUGGAGGUGGCUGUGCGUGGGCAGCUGGGAGGAGCAGAGCCCGUGGAGGAGGCCAGAGAUGGUGCCCGCAGGACACAGCCGCCCCCGUGGGGCCCUAAGCAGCUCCACCCUCCUCUCCUGCCAGGCCUUGGGAAGGAGACUACGCUGGCGGCAGCUGGGCGUGGAGAUCUUUCCUGGAGUCUGAUUCCAGCCCCACCCACGGCCACCUAGUCCUCCGCGGUGUCACGCGGGGCAGCUUUUCUCUAUUUCUGUCUCUCUCCAGGCCCCUCUAUUUUCGUCCUUUCACUGGCUGUCCCACCCCCUCCCCUCCCCCACUUCCGCCCCCUCCUUUACCCUUCCCCCUCCUCACAUUCCAACCUCCGCCCCCGCCCACAGCCGUGGGGCCAGCUGCUGUUUUGGGUGUCCAGGGGACAGAAAAGGAGAUGGGUUCUGCCCUGGGUCAGAGGUCCUCCCUCCUCGGAAUGUUUGAAGACCCAACCGGAGAGGGUGCCCCUAACCCUGCUGGAAUGUGGGCGGGACCGGACCCCAUCGAAGAAGGAGGUCACCCCUCACCCCUGCAGGCAGCCGCAGACAGCUGUCAUGCCCCACAAGACAUAAGCGGAACACCACCAACCCGGAGGCCUCCACGAAGCUGCAGCAGCCAGGAGCAUUUACUGAGGACUUCGCGCCAGCCUCCCAGUGCAUAACACCCAUCUCAUGAACCUGACCCUGACCCCACACUUUGGUUCUUGAACAUACCGAACCCUGCUAGUCCCAGGGAUAUAAGACUGUCUUAGCGGCUUCCCAAGGGAGCGUGAGGUCGGAGAUUUUGAGUUCAAGGCCAGCCUGGGCAACUUAGUGAGAACCACCCACACACACACUUGAAAACUAAGUUCGGAGGAAGCACUGCAGGCCACCAGCUCCAGGCAGAAGUUGCUCUGCCCGUCUCUGUUUGUUUCCGGGGAGGCUGUUUGUGUGUUAACCUGCAUGGGAGGCUGUGCCACAGUCAGGUGAGUGGACUGGGCAGAAGUCCCUGGAGUGAUAGGGGCGGAAGAGGCCCUUGCUAAACAGCAUCUGAGCAUCCCUGGGGGUUGAUGCCCUACAACUCCUCCCAUCCCUCCUGCAGUUUUAGAAACCCAAAUAGAUCAUUUCCCAGACAGAUGAGCCAC
ensembl:lncRNA